rnacentral:tRNA from 13 species
CUAGAUUAGAAGGCUUUUAUCCUACGACAUUUUAGUUAACAGCUAAACGCUCAAUCCAGCGAGCUUUAAUCUA